AANACCUWACUACUUGGAUAACCGKGGUAAUUCUAGAGCUAAUACAUGCUAAAAACCCCGACUUCGGAAGGGGUGUAUUUAUUARAUAAAAAACCAAUGCCCUCCGGGGCUCCCUGGKGAUUCAUAAUAACUUAACGAAUCGCAUGGCCUUGCGCCGGCGAUGGUUCAUUCAAAUUUCUGCCCUAUCAACUUUCRAUGGUAUAGUAGKGGUUUACCAUGGUGUCAACGGGUAACGGGAAAUUAGGGUUUGAUUCCGGARAGGGAGCCUGARAAACGGCUACCACAUCCAAGGAAGGCAGCAGGCGCGCAAAUUACCCAAUCCCAACACGGGGAGGUAGKGACAAUAAAUACUGAUGAGGCGCUCUUUAGGGKGUCUUAGUCGGAAUGAAUACAAUUUAAAUCCWUUAAUGAUUAACAAUUGGAGGGCAAGUCUGGKGCCANCAGCCGCGGUAAUUCCAGCUCCAAUAGCGUAUAUUAAAGUUGUUGCAGUUAAAAAGYUCGUAGUUGAACCUUGGGCCUGGCUGACCGGUCCGCCUCACCGCRAGCACUGGUUCGGCCGGGCCUUUCCUUCUGGGGAGCCGCAUGCCCUUCACUGGGUGUGCCGGGRAACCAGGACUUUUACUUUGAAAAAAUUAGAGUGUUCAAAGCAGGCCUAUGCUCGAAUACAUUAGCAUGGAAUAAUAGAAUAGGACGUGUGGUUCUAUUUUGUUGGUUUCUAGGACCGCCGUAAUGAUUAAAUAGGGACGA
rnacentral:rRNA from 1 species